GGGAAUAAUGAACAUUUGUGGACACGCGAGUGCAAUCCUUAUCGGGACGAAGCUAUCGCUUAUCAUUGAUUGCCACGGAUUGGUCCCAUCAGAGCUUAGUGUUCCGCCUUGAGCGAAGCCUCUCUCUCUCACACAUCACACUCUCCCUGCACCAUCAACACAGCCUGGGAGAUGAGCAUGCAGAGGUGGUGUUGCAUGAAGGUGGUGAUGUGUGCCUGCAUCUGGGUGUUGACAGCUGGUGAUGACCAGUCCACCCCGGGCAUAGAUCUCCUUCAGGAAUAUAUGCAGACGGACCCCACCAAGGUGUGUCACUACAUACAGUGCCAGGAACCACUGAGGGCCGUGGACUGCCCCGUUGGUACUCUCUACCAGCACGGUGUCACGCAGUUGGGCUGCUGUGGCGCCUGCGUCAGAUACAAGCAGGCCGGGGAAGGCAUCUGCACAGGCAAUCUCGAUCCUAAAUUUAAUAGUGGGUACGGGACGUCGACCUCCCAGCGAGAACACUUAAGUCUCUUUAGUGAAUCGUACGACAACAUUGUUACGUCCUCCUGGUGCGACUACGCCCUGAACUGCAGCCAAGAUGGCGUGUGUAGAGUUGAUGACCAGGCCCGAGGCUGUAAGUACGUCCAGAGACGCUACGACGAAGACCGGGAGAGCGGAAGCAUCAUGCCCUACCGCGACGACUACCGCUGGAGACCCACAUGCACUCUUGACGGCCAGUAUGCUGAGAAACAGUGCAAGGGACCCUACAGCGAACGCAGGUGCGUGUGUGUGGAUCCUGAAGGUCUAACUAUUUAUGGGAAAGCCUUCACAUGGCAAAGGGAUCUGUAUCAAGAUAUGAACUGCAAGUGUUCCCGGCGACUGUGGGAGCUGCAGCAGGCAGGGAAGACUACCAUGACUCUCCACUGUCUGGAGAAUGGGAACUACGAGCCCCUGCAGUGUGAGGACGGCUGGUGUUACUGCAUUGACCCGGCCACCGCCAUACCCUACGGCCCGGCUCUCCCAGAAGACGUGAUGAACAUACUUCCCUGUUACAACGCCACGACGACGGGCCAGCAGUACCUGAGACGGUGUGAUAGCGUGUACCACGCCCACUACCUCCUGCUGGAUUACAUGAAGGCCAAGAACAUGCAGGGACCCUCCAUAACCCUCAAUUGCGACCCCGACGGCUCCUACGGCGGCCUACAGUACAGCUUCGACGGGACGUAUCGAUGCUAUGACAAGUAUGACAACAAGUAUGAUAGCCUCAUCGCUCAGCCAGCGGGAGGGGGUUGUAACUGCGCCAGAGACCGGUUGCUCUACCAGGAGAACCAUAUGAUCGUCACCCUCACCUGCACUACCUCAGACUAUGCCGCUGCGGGCGUCUACAACCAGUUCCAGGUUGCUGGAGAAGUCAUCUACUGUGUGGACCAAGAUGGUAUUAGAGCCAGCUCCAUUAUCCUCGAGAAAUUCAAAGACAAACUGAACUGUGCGAAGGCAGUCGAGUGCCAAAACGGUAACCUCAAAUCCUGUGACGAAGUGUGUGAUGGGUGUCCAAACGAUGCUUAUCCGGCCUACAAUGCUCAAAGCUCCUACAACAACUCAACAUUCGAACGGCGAUAGAUCAGACAUGUUGGUAUAUGGCCAUACAAGUGCAUGGGAAAGUUCCAGAAAGAAUCUAUCGUUACCGAAGGAGCCUAUACAAAGUGACACAUGUUGGAUGUGAAGUACUUCUGUCCACUCUCACAACAAACACUCGUCCAAUUAUUAACAGUCAUCGUAGGAAAAGGUGCUUUGACUCAGAGGAAAAAAGUACUUAAAACUGUUCUGUGAUAUUCUAUGUGUAUAUAUAUAUAUAUAUAUAUAUAUAUAUAUAUAUAUAUAUAUAUAUAUAUAUAUAUAUAUAUAUAUAUAUAUAUAUAUAUUUUCCUCUAGACUUUUAGUCAUUUAAGGGUAGAGAUGGAACAAUCUAUCGGUAAUUUAUAUAAAAUCAGUCAAAAGUGCUGACUGCUCUAUCAGUUUGAUUACACCUUCCCCCCCCCUCUCUCUGGAUUGACUUUGCACGUCCUGGUUCCCAUCAUACAAAUUACAACUAUAACAACAGGCUUACAUAUAUACAUAUCCACGCUUUCUAUGGCUCGUUAGGCUAGAAGGGCUACUGCUUGGGUUCGGGCAUUUCUGGCUAGUUUAGCACUGUAUUUUGUACGUUGUGACCAAUCAAGAGAACGGGCUCUCAGAGAGAAGCCUAUCCAGUUGCAAAUGUUCUUCCUUGUAUCAAAAAUUAAUGUUGUUCCCAUGUAUUAAUGUUGCUUGUGUAUUAUCAACUAUAUCACGAUUCUCAGUAUUGAUAAUAGUAUUUAUAUACAGAUAUGUAUACAUGUCUGUAUAUAAAUUAUGCUGUAAUAUAACAAAAUGAAUGAUGCCAUCUCUGUAUAACUUUUAAGACUCCCAACCCACACAUCUUUAAGACUCCCAACCCACACAUCUUUAAGACUCCCAACCCACACAUCUUUAAGACUCCCAACCCACACAUCUUUAAGACUUCCAACCCACACAUCUUAAAGACUCCUAACCCACACAUCUUUAAGACUUCCAACCCACACAUCUUUAAGACUCCCCACCCACACAUCUUAAAGACUCCCAACCCACACAUCUUUAAGACUUCCAACCCACACAUCUUUAAGAUUCCCAACCCACACAUCUUAAAGACUCCCAACCCACACAUCUUAAAGACUCCCAACCCACACAUCUUUAAGACUUCCAACCCACACAUCUUUAAGAUUCCCAACCCACACAUCUUAAAGACUCCCAACCCACACAUCUUAAAGACUCCCAACCCACACAUC
rnacentral:misc_RNA from 1 species